rnacentral:lncRNA from 1 species
AGCAUCAUAAAGUGCUCAUGUUAGCUGUGUUCCUGGAGGAGUUAUGCUUUUGGAAGUCAGUUGAAAUUUGAUGGGAGUGGAGAUCUGAGAAGCAGUUGUUGGUAUGGACCAAACAUGUGCACAUGUUGUCAUGUUUUAAUAUAAGAAAUUCUCCUUUCUGUCCAGCAUCCGAAGAGAGCACAUUUCAUAGCGAUUGCUCUGGCAAGUCAAAGUUGCAGCCUUUCUCAUGACAGCUUUCCCUCUACUACAACAAACUCAUCCUCUUUGGAGACAAGGUUGCAUGAAGUUCUGCAGCACACAGUGCUGACACCUUCAAAAUGUAGCAAGACAAGCCAACUCUUGCUACAGUUCCUUUGUCCAUGGAAGUUAAAUAUUGGGUAUAUCUGGAUCUGUUAACAUAAAGCUGAACUUUGGACCUUCAAUUUCUCCAGGAGCUGUGGAGAGGUGUGCAAAUAUGGUAAGGAUGUAUUAAAUCUUAGAUAACACAGACCUGCACAGGUCUGAGUUUGCAGCCACACAACUAGACAACAUAUUCUUGUAGCCAGAAUAACAACCAAAAUUAAAUAUGAAGGUGGCAUCACAUGGCAAUGAGAUCAUUAACAACACUUCUGUUAAGAUCAGAGAUAUGUAUG